AGGACUGUUUUAGCUAUGGGGACCUCAUUGUGAGGCUUUGACAGCAGGCUUUUUGAAAAGGAUAGAAACUGAAGUCAGAACCAAAUUAAAAACCAGAUUUAGGUUAUUCAGCACAGUUAUCAUCCCAGUGACAAAUGUGAGAACCGAGCAAGCACAAAUACAAUGGAAGGUAUUUAAAUUUGGAUGGGUCUGAAAACAAAAGCUUGAUGAGGUUCAUAAAUGUCAAAUGAACAGAUGGAGCUGAGAAUGAAAUCAGCAGGGAGAUAAGGCAGAGAUUGCUGUGUGCAGGGGUGGAAAACAGGAAACUCCAGUCAGUGGGUUACAGUGUGAGGAUGAGGGACGAGGGACUGCCAAGAUAAGAGCUGAGACAAAGGCAGUGCUCAGGCUGCAAGGAAGAGCAGAGGUCAGAGAAGUCAGUUAUGGGAAGAAAGACCCCUGCGCACAAAUGCUGGGACCAGACAGACGGGUCAGGAGUGGGCUGUGUGUGGGAUCCAGCUCAAGCCAGGGGGCAGUAGGUGCCUGAUGGAGCUGAACAGCUGCACCAGCUUGAAAAGAGUUACUAUUGUGCAUUGAACAUUAUGGUCCUGAAAGCAAGAACUGACUGCUGCCAACCCACAUGGCUCUUCACAUUCACUGCUGAAUGUGAGUUUUGAGAUGGCUAACUUGAAAAAAGCCUUACAAAAACAGGAAUGGGUACGACAGUUUCUGCAUGACCUGAUAUUUUUCACUUUAAAAUACUGCAGGUAAGGCUCAUUUGUCAUGAAUCAUUGAACCCAUGCUUUCUCUUAUGCAGUCCUGCCAUCAAACCACCCUCUCUUUCAUAUCUAGCAAAAAAUCAGUGAAAGUAAUUUUUCUGAAGUCAAAUGGUCCUUAGUCAACCCCAAGGUGUUCUGUUGCUCAGUGGCAACAUUUCUGUCUGCAUGAAUGAAGGAAUAGAGGAUAUAACCUGCUAGUUGUUCUGCAUAUUUAAUUCCUGUUCUCUAAAAAGGCUUGUCUCAUUAUAUUGAAUUUUAAAGCGGGAAAAAGUCUACAUCUUAGAAGUUAGAAUGCAUAGAGGAUAAAUAGAGUAUCCAUUAAACACUUACAAAAAAAUAGUAAUGGUUUUACAAUUUUGUGUCUUCCAGACAGGAAUUCUGCAUUUGCCCUCCCUACAAAAGGGAUCUCCCCUUAUAGUGAUCUCCAUCAUUUUGGCUAUUGAGAUCUCAGAAAUCCUUUUCUAUUCAUGGUGAGGGGUGGUAGCAUUAAAAUAAUGUUUUAAAGAGUUAAUCAUAAUUUUAUAUCGCUAUCAGACUUGUAUAUCUCUGUUGGCACCAGGUACUAGUAGAAUUAGGUCCAGUGUUACAUUCUACAGUAGCAUAUCUUGGCUUCUAAGAGAAAUACAGCUUGUAUAUCUGCUGUUAAGAAACAGGAUGUCCUGACACAGGACCUCUAGAAGGUAUCUGGACCGCUCGAGGAUGUGCUUGUGCGCAGCAAAACUGUAUUGUGAACAUGGCAUGGAAUCAGCUCCUCAGAAAUUCCUAACAGUGAUCUUCAAAUUAUCUUUGCUGCCCUCUUCCUAUACACAUCCAUCAUCAAUAAUGAGAUGACUAGAUUUUCUUUUUUUUCCCUAUUGAAGUGCAUUGUUAAUUACAGGAUUAUCCUGACCACUCCAGGACAUGUAGGCAGCUGGUCUCACUGCUGUGUGUGGGUAAUAAACACUAUGCACAUUUCCUGUUUCCUGAUCUCACACUGCGUAUAUUUAUAAGUAUGUAGAUUUAAUGGUUGAUUUCAACGUUUAUCAUUGUUUCCCAGAUCAUUUCCGUCUUUCCUUCUCCCCAAAGAACAUUCCUUCCUGAAUUGUGUCAAAGUAAAGUACAUUUCUGGGUGGUGAGCAUUUGUUUCCGGACAGGUAACACCCAGCAGAAGCAGAUAACUCCACAGAGUUGAUGUUUUCAGCAUGCAGAUAUUUUUGCAGAGCCACUAAAUCCCAACACAGCUCCUGCACAUCCUACUAAUGUUGGCAUAAAACCAACUCUUUGCCAGCUGGUACGGAUCAAACUUUUUUACUGUUCGUUUUACUGUGAGGUACAUAUCAUAUGGCAGUUAGUGAUGUGCUUAAAUGUAAAGAAAGAAAGAGAUUGAUCCAGACAGUGAAGUUUCAUCUAAUCCUUCAUCUUUGCCUAUGUACUAUAUUUCCAGAGAUUCAUAUAGUUUUUCAUGUCUGGCAUAAAUGUAGUGGUUCUCCAUUGCACAUUGGAUAAUAUGUGCGAAUGGCACUAACAGAUGCACAGAAGUUUUGUUUUAUUGGAAGCUUUAUUGUUAUAAGCUUUGCAUAUUAUAUUUUUUUCUUUUUUGGGAUAGGUUUUUCAUACUCUUCAAGAUUGGGGCUCUUAUUUUUUAUCUUGUCUUAGGCAAGUUCUUAUAUUAAAAAGACAAUUGUUUUUUUCAAAAUAAGACCUUGUUUCUGUAGAAAAAAAUCUUAGUGUUGGCAGAAGAUGAUAUUUUGAUAGCAGUCUCCACUGUCUUCUUGUUCCUAAGUGAGCUCUUCCUGCGUGGAUGGGAGCCAGAUCAACACACAUCCAUGAUUCUCUAUUGACCUACUCCUGGAGGUACAGCUUUCAAAAAGAAUUUUUUAUUUGUACAGUCUUGCUUUGGAUCCAACUUGGAUAUUUAAAAGUUUUUUGCUUAUCUUGGAGAUCUGAGAAAAGUCCAUUUCAUAAAGGGCACUGAUGCAAAUUUGUUCAAUACUGCAUUCUGAUUUCAUUGAUUUAAAUGUUUACCUCCACACGAAGGACUGUUUAGGUGAUUGGUUUUCUCAAAAGUUUUAACAUUCAGCCAAACUGUGUCUUCCUACUCCUACCAAAAAAAUAGUUUUCUUACUUUUUCUGUCCAAAAAUUGCAAAAGCAGUAUUAUUAAGUUUUAGUGUCCUUUUUUUCAAGUAGUGAUGUAGGGGUGUUGUGUCUUGGGGAUUGUCGCUCGCGUGCCAGGGGUCAGGGCAGGAACAGACAAGAGGCAGGAUUGCAGCAAAGGCAAAGAAGCGCUUCAUUCAAAAGAACUGCGCGGUUUUUAUAGAGAGGUACAGAUUCUAUUAUAUUGGCUAACUAACAGAAACAUCUUUAUCACACACUGUACUUGAGAGGAAUGGAAAAACAAGGUAGAAAAACAAGGUAGAAAAACAGCACCUGAAAGUUGUUUAUAGUCAACAGGUUAUCAAAUCUUUCUAACUCCGUAAAAUCUCUCACAAGCUGUUGUGAGAAAUGCUUGGUGUUUCUCUCUCCCUGUCCCAUGGCAUCCACAGGGGAGUAUUAAAAUUCCUGAGUCAUUUGACCAAAUCACUUCUGAAAAAUAUUUUAAAGUUUAAGCAACAGUCAGUUUAAACCAACAAACAUGAAUCUAGAGCAAAGAAAAGUUACUCUUGCUGGAGGGGGAUCUGGCUAGGUUAUAUUUAAGUGAAUUGGGCAUACACAUGUUCUAGGACCUCACAAAAUGUAUCUGAGAGAGCUGGCCCAGGUCACUGUGAAAUGACUCCUGGUUGUCUCUGCAAGAUCAUGGUGAUCAGGAAAGAUCCCUGAUGACAGGAAGAAAUUAAAUAUCACUCCUGUCUUCAAGAAGGACAAGAAGAAGUACCUGAUCCCCGAGAAGAUUGUGUACUAAAAUUCUGAAAAUUAUUUCAAGGCAUAUUGAGGACAAGCAGGGUAUCUGAAGAAAUCCAUUUGGAUAUACAAAGUGAGAUCACCAUUCUCGGAGUCAUCUAUAAUGAUAAAAAGUGCUUUAUGGAUGAGGGCCAGUGGGGGCGGUAGGGGGGGCAAGAAGUAGAUGUUAUUAAGCUUGAUUUAACAAGGGUUUUGACACUAUCACAGAAAAUGCUGACAAAGCUGAGGAGAUAUGGGCUAGAUAAAUGCACAGUGAGGUGGAUUGAAAGCUGUCAAAAUCUCUUUACUAGACAAAGAGAUGUAAAAGCAGCAGGAACUCCAGGUGGAGGAUAAUCACUACAGGUUUCCUACAGGAGUCACUAGUUGAUCCAACAGUGUUUAAUACCUGUUUUAAUGACCUUAAUGAUGAGACAUAGUGCACACUCAGCAUAUUUGCUGAAGACACAAAACCAGGAGGAGUUGCUAGUUACAUCAGCUGUCCUUGCUGCCAUUCAGAAGGACCUGGAAACUUCACUGCAGAAGUGGGAUUCAAGGAACUCCAUGAAUUAAAAGGAGUGGAAAGAAAAGUCUGUAUCUGGUAAGAAAUAAUUUGAUUCAGCAGUAAAGACUGGGAGCCAACCAGCUGGAAAGCAGCUUUACAGAAGCUACUUUACAGGAGGUCCUGGUAGACAAUAUUCUGACCAUGAGUCAACAGUGUGCCCUUCCCGUGUGGAAAUCUGACAGUGUCUGGAACUUCAUUAGAAAAAGUGCUACAAACAGACCAAGUGAUGUGAUCCUUUUUCUCCACUCAGCAAUGUGAGACCCUCCCUGGAAUGCUGGGUCCAGUGCUGGGCUUUCCUGUACAAGAAAAAAAUAGGAAAUCACAGUCACUAAAGGUCACUAAAAAUUUGCAAGUACUGAUGCAUCUGUCAUAUGAAAACAGGUUGAGACUUCUGAAACUGUUCACCCUAAGGAAGACUCAGGAGACACUAAUCUACGUGCAUAGCAUGUGUGAUGGGGCACUCAAGAAGAUGGAGACAGACUCUUCUCAGUUUUGCUCAGUGACAGGAUAAGAAGUGAUGGUUACAAAUUGAACUGAAAUGCAGUAAAUACUGCUUAAAUGUGAGUUAAUUUUUUUUUUUUUUUUUUUUUUUGUUAUGGCAAUCAGAGUUGAACACUGUUGAAGAUCCCACAAAGGUUGUGGAGUCUCUGUCUUUGGAGAUAAUCAAACCCUACUGAACAUACCCCUGGGCAAUGUGCUGCACCUGUCUUUUGGAAGUCAUUUCUGACCAUGAUAAUUCCAGUGAGAGAGGCAGCAGUGAGUGAAUUGUAAAUUCAACUCCAAAUACUGUUGUCUCUGUAUUAUAAUUGUGAAAAAAUACUUCCUUGGUUGAAAAGUCUAAGAAAGACUUUGACAUUUUGCAUUUGAGAUCAAAGAUAACAAACUACAUGCAAAACAGAAGAGAUACUGUGUGUCUUUUUAGUGACUCUUCCCAAAAUACUCAUUGAAUGUGUUUAAGAACAAGAUCAUGUAAUUCUGGUAGAUUACUUCUGGGUUAAUGCCAGCAAAUUGCACUGUCCAAGAAGGUGAAACUCUCCCCAAACUACAGUGAAAUUAUUGCUGCCAAAACUGGGUUGAAUGCUUUCCAAGUGUAUUUCCAAAUAAAACUCCUCCAUUACUCACUUGGAUGUCAAUUAGCAGGUCAAAUUUAAACUUUGGAGCCUUAAACGAAGUGAGCUGAUUUGCUACACAUUCAUGACUAGAAAGAUUUUUUUUUCCUAUUGUGUUUUAGCUAUUAGAGGACGUUUUCUAUAUUAAGAAAAAAGUUGCUUCUUCUGGCUUUCCUGAAGUUAUCAAACUUUAGGUGAUCUUGCAUCAAAAAAAAAAAAAAAGGAAAAACAUUUCUAAGAUGAAUUCCCUUCUCAAUUAAAUUGGUGGAAGAAAAAGGUCAUAAUUUUGAUCUAUACUAUUAUAACUGAGGAGAUGAUGCAUUUUUCAUUUGGAAAUUUAUUGUGAGUGCCUAGAAAUCUAGUUAGCCUUUCAUCCUUUUCUUUUUUUUUUUAAAUAGUGAAAAGUGGUCUAAUAAUUAAAUGUUUAAGUAAAUUGACUCUUGACACUCCCUGUAUCAAAUACAACUCGUCCGGCAUUGUGUGUAAAACUUUGUGAGUAGAAGAUUCUACUGAGUAAAUGUAACAAUAAAAAAUAAUUAUAUAAAUUCAAAUUAUAUAAUUAGGAAAAAAAUAGUAACCGGUUAUGCAAGCAUUUUUUUUUCUUUAACUCUCAUUGUACUUCACAAAUUUAGACCUCUUAUGGGUCUUUGAUGAAUACUCUCUGCCUGAUUUUUUUUUUUUUGUGCUACUUCAGUGACUCUUACGAAACUACUUAGGGAUAUAUUUGGUCCCCUAGGAGACACCUUUCAAAGUGGAGAAGGCAGUUGACUUUAUACAGUCAUGCACAUUUAGCUGUGAAAUUUUUAAAUAUGGAACACUAAAUCACAUUAUACAUGUCAUGUGUUUAUUUAGAUAGUAUGUAUGGGUGUUUAUGGAUCUGCUGAAGACCAAAUGGCUUCUUAAUGACAGUUCCAUACCCAGUGAAUGACUGUAAUUUUCAGUCUGUGUAGACGCAUUGUUUUCAAUAAUGGCAAUCUAUAUAAAGGCUUUUUAAUUUCAAAUAUAGUGAGACUUUGAGGACAAAAAAGAGAAAGGUAGAAGAAGAGAGAUUAAAAUAAUCCCCUCUCAAAAAUGGAAUUGAAAUGGGGAAAAGGUCUUCACAGAAAAGAAGAAUUCUGAAAAAUCUCAAAACACUUUGAAGAAAAGACUAACGAAAGGCUGAGAAAAAUGAUUCACCACUAUUUAAGAAGGGAAAAAGCAAAAUAGAAUAAAAAAACCUGCCAGAUGUUUGGAACAGAAAAGUAGGAUGAAACAGAAUGUCCUUAAUAAAAUUAACUCUAAACACAAAUUGAAAAAAAAACAUAUAUCAAAGAAAUAAAUAAAGGAAAGACAAGGAGGGGAGGGAGGGAGCAGGGGGCAGAAUUCAGGUAUUAAGUUUUUAUGACAUACAUACAGUCUGCCCUUGAUUUACAGAAUGACCACACAGAAAAACCUCUUUUCUUUGGAUUCCCACAGUGCAGUGAACCUGCUAGACAUCUGAGAUCCACAUCUGUUCUGUGAUCUUAAACAUAGUAAGAUUUUAUAAAAUUUUCCAUCUAUCCAUCAUAUUCUUAUAUGGUGUGGAUGAACUGGGAUUUUAGCUACAGCUGGACAAAGGCAAAAAAAUUCCUGAUCUAUCCUUGCUCUUUCUUGACCCUUGUCCUUAGAAAAUGCUAGCACAGCUUUUUGAAGGGCUGAAGUGAAUUCUUAUAAGGAAGUUUUCUGACUCUAACUUUGUUACGAAAGAAAACAGUUUGGUAAAAUGAGGGGUAAAAAGGAUAAGGAGACAAAACUGUGAAGAUACAUAUUUCAUGUGUGUGUGAAGAAUGUGGGAGAAGAUUUUGGGGUCUGAAGCAGAGUCAGCAGAGAGCAUUCCCCAACAGUAUCACACCCACUGUAGGGAGUUAGCUGCCACAUCUCUGCACCCAUGCCUACUUCAGCACGUGUCUGCUCUCUUUUCUGCUCACCAGGCUCUGAUCCAUAAAUCCUCAUCCUGAUAAUAGAGAAGGAUCAAUACUCUCUGUUCCUGGCCUAGCUCCCACCACUUGCUUUCUCCAAAACUCAUAUGGAAGCCUUCCCUUGCUGCCCAGCUGGCAUUUUCAAAAGGAUAUCAAGUUCCCAGUCAUUUGUAAGAAUCCUGUUGCCAGCAACACUAUAAAGUAUUCAUGAAAGCAUCUGGAGGGCAAAGGAGCAUGGCUGUGGGAGGAAGAAAUGGAAGAGGGGUCAGGAGGAAAAUGCAUGCAGGGCAGGCAGGGUAUGGGAGUUAUGGUUAGCUAUGGGAAGAAGACCAGGGAGAGGAGUUUUGUACACUCACAGUGCCUUGCUUUACUAAGUUCAGUGCUGUCAUUUGUCACAAGUAUUUUCUUAUCUGUUUGUUGUGACAAUUUUCUGCUGCAUUAUAUAAGUGUUUUGAUUUUAGCUGAUGGGACACACACUAGUGUGCUAGGAUCCCUGUGGGCUAACUCGUUUAUUGUUUACAGCUGGCUACAGAUUCACAGGUAAAUACAGAGUAGAAAUGAAAGUUUUUUUCUUUUCAGUAUCUUCUCCACAUAACUGAACCUGACUGCACAAACUCUUCUCCACAUAACUGAAACCUGAUAUUUAAAAAUAUAACAGUGGACUGAAUUACUUUUCACAUAAAGAUUUUUCUGAGUUUCCUAUCAGUGAUAUUGUCCCUGUUGGCUGUGUCUAAAUGUUCACCCCUGUCAAUGUUAAUGGCAUUAUAUAUAAUUUGUGCCUAUGGAGGUCUGUGGAAUAUGGAAGUAGCAUCUCAGACUUUUCUUCAUCAUCUAUUCUGCUUUGUGAAUUUCUUUUCACAGGCCAAGAGAGUUAAAAACAAACUCCAAAAAGUGUGUCUGUUCCUGCAAUGCUCCAAAAAGUGUGUCUGUUCCUUCAGUGUAAAAACUGAAGUGAUUAAUCUGAAAUAAAAUUAUUUUUUAUUAUUAUUGCUGUCACAGAGAAAUUCUAACUAUAUUACAGCUUUAUGGAAAGAUCAUUCAGCUUUGCCAUAAAUGUCCACAUACAGACAAGCACUGAAAGCAGAAAGCCAAGAUAUAAAAAGAUCUACCCUUGCAAGCCUUUUGUUUAGCUCUAGCAUCUGUUCUAGGCAUGCCUGCCAUUGGGGACCUCUAGAGGCUACUCAUGGCUUCAUCCUCCUGUGCGUUGGCAUCCAUCAUACAGGAGAUGCAUCUAAAUACUGCACCAUCUGUGGGACAGCCAUUUGCUCCCAUGGCGCAUACAUGAAAGUCCCACAGCUUUCCCAUUCUGGGCCAUAUGCUGCUCUCAUUUAUAUCCCAUGGAUUUGGAGCUGAGGCAUAAUGUAAAUGGGAAAGCUUAGUUAUCAGGAUCUGCUGUUUAAUUUAUGCAAAACCGGGACAUUGUUAUUCUGCAAAUCAUAUGGUACGAAUUUUAGGAAUUCAUCAUUUACAUAAAGAUGGGGGUGCCCUCAAAAGUAGUAUGUGUGUGAAGACACAUAUCAGAAUCCCAGAAUUCACACCCAGAUUUCUAUUACUACCUUACCUCCAGGCUCUGUGAUGUUCUUUUCUCACUUAUGAGUUAGAUCGUUAUAGACACAAAGACAAAAUUUGCAUCUGGGCUAGGUUUCCAAAUGCCUUCAAUAUUUGGUUUUAUCUGUACUUAUCAGUCAGUAACUCUCUACUUAAAAAACCCCUUUCCAUCAAAAUUAUAUGAAGAUUCUACUUUCUGUCUUUUAAAACUAUGUUUUAUUCAUGUUUUUGUGAAUUAAAAUACUGAACUGGCUUUACCAUCGACAUGAACUACAUAAUCUAUGUUUCAAGUCAGAUGAUGUGCAUUUUUUUUCUUUUUAUGUAUUUGCCUAAUGGUCUGGCCGACAUGAGCAGCCGAACUCAUCUCAUUGCUUCCAUCAAUGCACACUCAUAUGCAAUUCUAUUACUUUCAUGGCGCAUAUUUUCAGAAUGUAUAAUUGUAAGUAUUUUAAAGUGUUUAUAUGUAGCCCUGAUUUUUUAAGAUUUUCUAAGCCUUCUGAUGUUUACAUUUUUGUAACAAACUUCCUCACACACUUUCUGUAAAUACCUUAUUGUUUUUCAUUCUUUAUGGAGGAGGAGAAAUUUGAUGGACUGCUGGUUUGUCCAGUGUCAUUGGAGAGGUGGCACUUUCACCCUCCAAUCCACUGUCACUUU